rnacentral:lncRNA from 1 species
UAAUUUGUGUUUCAAGAUUAUUGAUCUUUCGUAUUGAAGUUCUGAAAAUUAUAUUUUUUUCUUAGGUGGAGAAGUAUUGAAAAGAUGGAUCUUGAAGUUAUUCCUUUCAUUUUAGUAGUGUAACUAGCAAGAGCUCAAGAUUAUUUGCCGCCAUUCUUUGAUUACAGAAGUUUUUAUUUUGUUUGUUUCUUGCAUUGACAAAUGAAUUUUGAACUUGUUCUUGGAUAAUUUAUCUUUGGGAGAAAAUGAAUUGGUGGUGUAGGUUUGGGAAACAGUGGAUCAGGACACCCUGUGGAAAUUUAGGUUUUAUUAUGUGUUUAUUAUUUUCUUUGCUGCUAUUAUUCAUGGAUAAACUUGUGGAUUGGGAAUGCUUACCUCUUUAUGACAGGCACCGUAAAUGUCUGUGUCAGCCAUUUAAUUUUCUCUUUCUAGUCCACAGACAUUUCUUUCAGCAACUGAGUCAUUUAAUCGCAAAGAGAGUUUUGUUGCCUUUCAUGUUCUUUGUUGUCAAAACAACCUUGUUUCUUUUUUAUCAGCUAUAGUAUUUAGUUUCACUGCGAUCUCGGGAUGUGUUAUUUGGAAGUGAUGUGGUUACUCAUUUAAGGAUUGACGUGUUAUUUGGAAGUGAGGUGGUUAUUCAUUCGAGGAUUGAAUUCCAUUCCCUUUGACUUGCAUUGUUUGUGUUCAUUGCUAUCAAACAACUUUCUUCAUUUUAAAUGUAUGGAGUCUAUUUUUUUAAGAUGAAAUCCCCACUAAAUGUUUAUGUUUUAUUUUUUCUUUCUUUUUCAUCAUCUCCUAGUUAUUUGUGUUUCUCAUAGGCUUGGUCUCAUCCCUUCGACUUGCAUAUGUUUGUGUUCAUUGCUAUUGAACAACUUUCUUUUUUGCCAUUAGUCUUCUGGAGCUUUGCCAUGAGACUUCUUGAGUUUUGCCGUGAGACUUCUUGAGUUUUGCCGUGAGACUUCUUGAGCUUUGUCACAAGUCUUCUUGAGCUUUGCCACGAGUCUUCUUGAGCUCUGCCAUGAGUCUUCUUGAGCUCGGCAAUGAGUUUUCUUGAGCUUUGUCGUGAAGAAUGUAGGGGUCAGGUUUUGGAAACCGUGGAUGGAGAUGCAGUUAAAGUUUCGGUUUUAUUAUCUUUGCAUUUAUUAUGCUGAUAAAAAAAAUCUUUGCAUUCAUUAUUUUCUUUUUUGAUAUUCUUUUUGCUACUCUGGUGGAGUGGGAGUUCUUGUAAUUGGACCUUUGACUUUGAUGAUUUGAUUAUCUUCUACUUGUGUUGUAGAGAAUUUUGAGCUUUGCCAUUAGUCUUCUUGAGCUUUGCCAUGAGUCUUCUUGAUCUCUGCCUUGAGCCUUCUUGAACUCUGCCAUGAGUCUUCUUGAGCUUUGCCAUGAAUCUUCUUGAGCUUUGUCAUGAAUCUUCUUGAGCUUUUACAUGAAGGAUGUAGGGGUCAGGUUUUGGAAAUAGUGGAUGGAGAUACAGUUAAAGUUUAGGUUUUAUUAUCUUUGCAUUUAUUAUGCUGAUAAAAAAAAUCUUUGCAUUCAUUAUUUUCUUUGCUCCUAUUCUUUUUGCUACUCUUGUGGAGUGGGAGUUUUUGUAAUUGGGCCUUUGACUUUGAUGAUCUGAUUAUCUUCUUCUACUUGUGUUGCAAUGAACACUUACCAUGGAUGUUUGUUGGACAUAUUGUGAAGCUUCAGGUUUUAUUACUUUUCCACUCACUAUUUUUCUUAUGUGCUCGAUUUGGAAUGUGUACAGUUUCUCUUAUUUGUUGGAUAGUUGGAAGGUAUUUCAUUGUAUUGUAUGUAUCUAAGCAAGAGCAAUACUUCUAGGUCCUCCAUCAUCUAACCAUAUUGAUUAUAGUUUUCUUGAAUUCAUUGGCCUAAAAGGAAAGCUAAGCAAUGAAGUUUGGUGUAGGAUGUAAAAAUGGUUGGUGGAAAUUCUGUGAUCAGUGAAGCUAAAUGUUUCUCUCAUUAGGACAUUGUUGUGUUUAACUGAAUUAAUUUUUAACUGGCUAAACUUGUUGGUUUGAUUAUAAUCUUGGUUGUAUUUUGAUGGUGUAUGGUUCUAAGAGGCAUUGUGGGAUUAGCAUGAGACAAGUGUGGUUGGGCUUUACUCUUUUAUUUGAUGGUUUGCUUCUUGGUUUGGAAAGUUCUACUAUUUAAUUUUGAUGACUUCUCUGCAUAAUUCUAUAAUAUAGGUCUGUUGUUCUUUUAAUAGUUUUCCAAAACCUUUUGAUUCAUUAUUCUUGAUCCCAAACAUAGAAUUUUUGCAUGUAAUCUCGUGUGAUCCUAGACAACAAUGUCUCUUACUAUGAUGACGGACAUCAAUGUCUCUUACGCUGAAAUUUUUGAAAUUAGUAUAAGAAUGAUCCUGAAAUUGAAAUUGUUUAAAUGCUUCACUUUUGUUUCAACAAUCUCAUGUGUUUCUCGUUCCUUGAGUUUUGAAAUUUGCAUUUAUUUGUUUGCAACACAUUGAGUCUUUAUUUGAGGUUUCUCUUUCAGUUCAUUAACUCAGCAAGUGAUGGAAUAUAGUGGGACGACUAACAUGUUUAAUCAACCAGUUAUAGAUUUUUUUCUUUUUUUCCUUUAUUGUUUAUUGAGUUGAGUGCUUUGAAAAUAUUUCUGUAACCAAUUGGGAUUGAAAGUCCAGCGUUAUGCCUGGCAUUAGAUAAUUGGACUUCUUUUAUUAGUUAUCCAAACCGUUCAUUUUUUUCAUAUUUGUUCUAUUUGGACAGGAAUUGUAUGCGAGAGAGAUAAUGAAGUUUUGGAGGUGAAUUUGUUAAUUUCAGUUACGACUAUGGAGGAAUUGUAUUUUGGAGGUGAAUUUGUGAAUUUGUAUGAGACAACUUUGUUUCUCUGAAAUUUAGAGAGCCUCUUUAAUAUUGCAUGGUAGUUUUUUUAUACGAUAUACAAGUAUAUCCAGUUUUAUUUGGAUAUUUUUUAGCAACAAUGCUUUUGGAAUAGGAUUUGUUUGAGCGCUACCAUGAGAAAGUUCAACUUGAAACGACAACAACUCAUAAUAGCCUAAUUCCUUCUAUAUGAGGUUUCACCUUUUAUUUAACUUCUAAGGACUUGAUUACCAACAUUAGGAUUGAAUUGUGAUUUGUUUUUCUACAGUGGUUUAUGAUUGUCUUCAAACAAUGUUUGGAUCUCAUCGAGCCAGUUGGUUUCUGAGUUAAGAAUUUUUCUAAUAUUUUCUAAAAUUCCUCCCCUGAAACAAGUGUUUUUAGUUUUCUUGAAUUUUUGCUCUUUACAGAUAAGACAAGCAAUGGAUGUGUGACGACAUGUAGAAACAUGGGGAUCAAUUAAAGCCUUAGUUUGUCUUAAUUGGUGACUAGUUAUUUGAAUGCAGUUUUAUAUGUGGUGACAAUGAUCUAUCAAAAUAAAAAAAUUGGUUUAGGAUUUCCUCUCUAUUUGAUAUUUUCAGAUUUGAUCACCAAAUAUAAGGAUUUUCUGUUGCCAUUUGUUUCUCUGCAGUGAUGUUUGCAUUAUGGCUUUACAAGUCUUUCAGAGGAUCAGUAGUUUCAGAGGUGAAUUGUGUGUUGCAGUGUAAAUUGUUCAAGUUUAUUUAUUUGCAAAAGGGAUCAAUUCUCCAUUCAUUUUUGCAGAAGAUUAGAUGGCUAACAUUAUUGUUCGUUCAUUUGAUCCAGUAAGAGCUCAUUCUAGAAAUGUGGACUUCUCUUUAAAAGCCUUUGGUAUUUUAACUAUCUUCAAAAGAUAUUUUUUCUGGAUCUAUUGUUUUGACAGAGCAGGUCUUCGAGGAAGACACGAGUGUUGUUGAUUUUUAGAUUUGGAAUUGUUCAAGUACCAACAACAUGAUUUCAUGAUCUCUUAUGAUUUCCCCUGAAUUCUUGGUUGUUGUUUUGCCAGGGUAGGGUCUGGGUAGAUUUGGGUUUUUGGAUUCGGAAUUGUCCAACUACCAACAAUGUGUGUACAGGUUUGAAAUAGAUGAUGUGUUUGUCAGAUAUUUUCUAGGGAUAUAUAUAUAUAUAUAUAUAUAUAUAUAUAUAUAUUUAGUUGCUAGUUUUAUUUUUCAUUCAAUUACUUAAUUGCUUUAUUACUAUGAUCAUUUGAUUAUAAAAUUAUUCUUGGUAGUUAUAUAAUUAUUCAUGGUUGUUAGAUUACCUUUAAUAGUUACUGUUGUUGGAAAUAUAAUCUAGAAGUCCUUUGUUGGCUAAUGAUUCUCUAACAUUUUUUUUAAUUUUAUGGUAGUUGUAUUUUGCUUUGACAAUUUAGUUUAGUUUUUUUUAUUAACUCUGAUUGUUUCCAGCAUCGACACAUGAAUUUUGAACUUGUUCUUGCAUAAUUUAUCAUGGGAGAAAAUGAAUUGGUGGUGUAGGUUUGGGAAACAGUGGAUCAAGACCCUAUGGAAAUUUGGGUUUUAUUCUGUGUUUAUUAUUUUCUUUGCUGCUAUUAUUCACGGAUAAACUUGUGGACUGGGAAUGCUUACCUCUUUAUGACAGGCACUGUAAAUGUCUGUGUCAGCCAUUUAAUUUUCUCUUUCUAGUCCGCACUCAGACAUUUCUUUCAGCAACCAGUCAUUUAAUCGGAAAGAGAGUUUUGUUUCCUUUCAUGUUCUUUGUUGUCAAAACAACCUUUGUUUCUUUCUUAUCAGCUAUAGUAUUUAAUUCACUGCGAUCUCAGGAUGUGUUAUUUGGAAGUGAUGUGGUUAUUCAUUCGAGGAUUGAUGUGUUAUUUGGAAGUGAGGUGGUUAUUCAUUCGAGGAUUGAGUUUCAUUCCCUUUGACUUGCAUUUUUUUGUGUUCAUAGCUAUCAAACAACUUUCUUCCUUUGAAAUGUAUGGAGUCUAUUUUUUUAAGAUGAAAUCCCCUCUAAAUGUUAAUGUUUUAUUUUUUUUCUUUCUUUUUCAUCAUUUCCUAGUUAUUUGUGUUUCUCAUAGGCUUGGUCUCAUCCCUUCGACUUGCAUUUGUUUGUGUUCAUUGCUAUUAAACAACAUUUUUUUUAAAUGUAUGGAGUCUUUUUUGUUACGUCUAGAGAUGUUGAUUUGCUUGUUUUCAUUCCGUUUUAGGUGUUGAUUUGUUUGCGUUCAUUCCUUUUUAGGUGUUGAUUUGUUUGUGUUCAUUCCUUUUUAGCAUUUGGAGGCCUCAAGAAUGGUUGAGGAUUAAAAUCUGGAAGUGUUUAGAACGACCAAUAAUUCAGGAUAACCUAAUUUCAUUAGUUUCCUUUCCAUUUGAUUUCUUGAGAUUUGAUCACGAAGAAUAAGGAUUGAAUUGUCAUUUGUUUUUAUGAUGUCUUUCUUUGUUUUGAAUGUCUUAUUGUCUCUAUACUUCAACUCUAUGAGCCGUUGUAGCCUUCCUGAAUUCUUGGGGUGUACAGUACAGGACAAACAUGCAACAGAUGUUACGUAGGACAGAUGUGAGUAUCCUUAAAGCUCUAGGUUUUGGUAUCCACACAUAUUUUUGUCUUUAAUUGGGACUGGCUAUUUGAAUUUCUCUGGUUUUUGAAUUCCUUCAAUUCAUCUUAUGCUUUCUUAACUUCUUGGUCUUUAUUACCAAUAUCUAUUUUUAUUUAAAUAUAGUUCUUAAAUUUUUUAUGUCUAGGUGUUGAUUCGUUUGUGUUCAUUUCUUUUUAGCAUGUAAGACUGGUUAAGGAUUAAAAUCUGCUAGUGUACACGAAAAACAAGCCACGGAUGUGAGGUAGGAUAUCUAAAUACUGGAAGGAGAUGCUUGAUUCUGUAGGUUAUCCAUAAUCUUUGAUGACAGAUGCUUACUUGAGUUUGGAUGUAGUUAUUUAUUUGAUGAAAGAGAUCUAUCAUAUGUAACUUUGUGUUAGUUCCUUUUCAGCAGGGGAUUCUGGUUGAGGAUUAAAAAACAUAAAUUUGAAUAUUGAUUUUGUUUGAUUAUUGAAAUAUGACAAAUCUAGCUGUUUGAUCUUUGAAUAUGUUGAUUCUUUUUAGCAAAUCAUAGGUUAGUAAUAAUAAAAUGCUCAGGGAAGAUGUCUCCCCUUUACUUGAAACAUUGUAGAUAGAGCAUAUUUUUCCAGACUGAUAUGCGAGGUAGGGUGUGGAAACACUUCCCAGGGGAUUUGUGAAGCUUUAGGUUGUUACCUGUUAGAUAUUAUUAGAUAUUAUUAGAUAUUAUUAGAUAUUAUUAGAUAUAAUUAGAUAUUAUUUGAUAUUAUGAGAUAUUAUAGAUAUUGUUAGAUAUCUCAUAUUUAUGUAAUGGGCUUAGCCCAUAUGUUUCUUUUCCUAUAUAAACAUAACCCUAUGUGUUCAAUAUACACAAGGGAUUUACCCUAUUCUUUCUUUUCCUUUAAUAUUACCCUUACCAUUCUUGUGUCUUUAUUUGUGACUGACUAAACUUCUUGUUUGGAUUCUAAGUUUUGGUUGGAUUCAUUGCUAACAUUGUAGUUUGACUGGCAGUCUGGCAGUUCUUGUGGGUUUAGAGGUCGUGUAAUACUCUCUUUUUUAAGUUGUCCAUUUCUAAGUAAUUUAGGCUUCUCUUAGCUUUUACCAGUCCUGGAUUCAUAGUGAAAUUUGACCCUUUUACAUGGUGCAAUUGAAAUUAAGGAGAGAAUUAUUGAUCUUUAGUUUUCUAGUACUGAAUUAAUUUUGGAUUUGUUUUGGUGUAGCAAAUCUGAAAGGUCAUUUUCUUAGUUAUUACUUCAUUUACUAAAUAAUCAAGAGCAUUGGACAAUUUGAUUUUGUAGUGUUUUGUUUGCUGCAUUGACAAAUGAAUCUUGCAUUCUAUUGUUUUUAGGAGUUUUAGAUUACAUCCUGAAUAUGACAUGAUGAUCUCUUCUAUCUUCCAAAAUGAGAAUGAUCUGCAACAUUAGAGUUGUAUUUAGUUCUAUGUCCAAUGUGAGAAUGAGAAAAUUAAGAGCUCUAUUUAGUUUUAUCUCCAAUUAUCUCUAAUAUGAGAAUGAGAAACAACAGUAGUUGGAAUGUUUUCUUGCAAUCUUCCUGUGCUAUGAUUUAGUUCUCUCUCCAUAUAUGAGAAUAAGAAAAUGAGAAAGAGAAACAAGAUUAUUUGGAAUGUUUUGUAGUAAUCUUCUUGCACUAUGAUUCGGUUCUCUCCCAAUAUGCGAAUGAGAAACAACAAUAUUUGGAAAGUUUUGUCGUAAUCUUCUUGUGCUAUGAUUCGGUUCUGUCCCCAAUAUGCGAAUGAGAAGAUGAGAAACAACAGCUUAUGAGAGCUCCAUUUGGUUCUAUCUCCAAUAUGAGAAUGAGAAACAACAGUACAUGAGAGUUCUAUUUAGUUUUAUCUCUAAUACGAUAAAGAAGAGAAACAAAAGCAUUUGGAUUGUUCUCUUUGUAAUCUUCGUGUGCUAUGAGCAACGCCUCCCCUCGAGGCUAUGGUUACGGGUGAUGCCUCUCUAUUCCAACAUGAGAGCUCUAUAUAUUUUUUUGGGGUGGGGUCUCAAUUUAUGAUACCAUGUGGAAGCAGACACCAUAUUUUUGCCGUCUAUAUUUCUCAGCUCUUGCUGAUUUUGCCAUGCUGAACUUAGUUUUCUUGAAUUGCCAUUCUUCUUAAAUUUUUACAGUAAAGCAAUAGAUAUGUGGGGGCAGGUUUUGGAAACAUUGUAUGGAGAUCUGGUGAAACUUUAGAUUUUAUUAUCUUUGCAUAUUCAUCAUUUUCUUUGAUGGCUAAACUUGUGGAUUGGGAGUUCUUGUAAACAGGCACUAUGUGAGUUUGAGAGGCUUUGGCAAUUGUGUUGUUAGGCCUUCGAUCCUGGUGAUUUGAUAAUCUGUUGCAGUGAAGACUUUAUGGAUGUCUGUUACCCAAAUUACGGUACAUUAUUGGACUUACAUUUCCAUUUCACUAUUUUUUUUAUAUCCUUGAUUUGGUUGUGGUAUCUCUUAUUGGUUGAAUAGUGGGAAGGCACAUGUGAAUCUUAUGAUGUAUUGCCUUUAAUAGUUUUUGCUGUUGGAAAAAUAAUCUAGAAGUCCUUUCUUAGCAAAUUAUUCUCAUUAUUGUAGAAAUUCUAUAACAUUUAUUCAGGUUUUACUUUCUACAAUUAGUUUAUUUUUAUCCACUCCGAUAACUAAUUAAAUAUUUACUUUCUCUAGAAAGUAGACUAUGUGAUUGAUAUAUUUUAAUGUUAUUCAUAAAUUAGUUCUUUAUAUUAAUCAUUACAAAAAUGUUUGGUAUACACUCAUAUUUAUCAUAUUGCCUUCAAGUAGAAAGGUAUUUGUAUAGGGCAAUUGCUUCCUCCCCCAAUCAAUUUUGACUAGCAUUCAAUAGAAGUUUUAAAACUUCAUUAUGCCUUUUUCACGGCUUACGAAUGCCAAUAUCCAAAAGUGACAUAUUUGCCUAUGGAUAUUGCCAUUUGGAAGUGAUAGUUUUGCCUACGGAUAUUAACAUUCGAAAGUGUCAGUUUUGCCUACGGAUAUUGACAUUUGGAAGUGUCAGUUUUGCCUACGGACAUUGGCAUCUGGAACUGGCACUCUUUGAUUGCGUUCAUUUUUAUCCGAAAGGCACUAUCAUUUUUCUUAAUAUACAUAUCAGGAAGCCAAUCAUCCUUAACUUUUUUUUUUGGCAGUGUAAUGAUUUUGUUACUUUUAAUGGAUUAAAACCACUAAACCGAACCAAUUUAAAGAAUAAAAGUAAAAUCAACAUUAAAAUUUGUUACUUGCUUUUUAUUAUAAAAUAUUUAUAUUAUCAUUUAUAUAUUUUCAAAUGCAUUAACCAUUGAUGACAUAUAGAACAUUGUUGAGAGUAGAAAAAAAGCACCCAAUAAACACAUUUUGGAUUUUCAAAAUGGGACCUGAUGAAAAAGACUUUCGUGGUGCAUAUGGAUGUUUAUAUUCAUAACUCAUAACACAAUUACGGACAAAAAUAUUCAGAACCCGUGAGAAGCGUGAAGCGACACGUCUCCUUUUCUGGUGUCUUUGCUUUCUGUCGUUGUUGAAGUGGCUCAAAAGCGUUGCUUGCGUGUGUGUAAGACUUUCGGAAGAGAAUGUCUACAAGAAACAAUGAAUGACCUUCUGCACUGUGCUUGAUUGUGGGGUGUAUGGAACCUAAUUUCACUCAUUAAGGGUGUCAUGGUAAUUUCAUAUAGAUCAUUAAGGGUGUUAUGGUAAUUUCAAACAGAAAAUUGGGUGUUAGUUAGAAUUGAUUGGGUGCAGGAGAGUCAGCUUUGUGUAGCAAUAAAAAGUCACAAAGAAAUCUAUUCAACUCUAAAAGGUUGUGAUAUUUAACACCACAAAGAGUAAAAAACAUUCACAAAUUAAUAAAAUAAUAUUUUAAUCAUAUUUAAUUUAUUUUUAUUUUUAAAUAUUAUUAUAUUAUUAUAAUGAGAUGUUAAGUAUACGUUUUUACAUGGUGUCAAAAAAUUAUUUUCCUAUUCUAAAAGAACUUAGACAAAUGUCUUAUUAUAAUAAAACUAAUAAUGUGGAAAAUAUUUUAAAAAACACUAAUAAAAGAAAUAAGUUUAUUUUUCAAAUUGAAGUCAAAUUAAGAUUAAAACAAUCUUAAAAUUUAAUUAUAUUGACUAAAAAGUUAAUAAAAACAAAACAAUAUUUACAAGAUAUUUUUAAAUAUCUUUAAAAUAAUAACUGCAAAUUUGUUUCCCCUGUUUUGUGUCAGCGGUUUGUUAUAAGAUAAGGAUGAAAAUCUUAAUUGCAUAUUUUCACCUCACCGCGUAAUAUAAGCUGUCAAUCUUGACCCUCCCUUUCUAUAUAUACCCGAAGAUCUUAUUGAGUUUAUCAUAUUGAGUUUUGUUGGUAUUGGUUCCGUGAUUGAGUUUUGUUAGUACUGAUUGGGGGUGAUUGUUGUGCUUCUUAUUAUCAAGUCUCCGUGGUUUCGUCGAAUUAUAUCAUGUUUGCUAUCAUCGAUGUGGUUUUGAUGUGGUUUUGUCGGAUUGAAGAAUGCAAGAAUCUUUUAUAGGAUUGAAGAACGCCAAUUCUGAAUAUGAUUCUUUAUGUGAUGAUGACAAGUUUUGAAUCUUUUGAUCAAAUUCCUUUAUCCCUUUUCUGCUGGUGACGGGGUCUUUGAGUAUUUUCUUCUACUUUCCUUUCUAUUAUUUGAUUUAUCUGGUAUUGAUCACGAAAAUAAGGAUUGGACUAUGAUUUGUUUAUCUGCAGUGGUGUAACACGUUUCUUAGUUAGUUUUCUUGAUUUUUGGGCUGUACAGGGAAGACACGCAAUGGAUGUGAAAUGAAGUAUUAUGUUUUCUUGACUUCUUAUGGGUUUAUUCGUGACUGAUUAUUGGAUUUCGUAGCCUAACUUGGUGUUUAUGUUCACUCCCCUUCAGCAAUUCGAGUUUCUGAGAUUUGAAACCCUAAAAAGUUUGAAACGGUUGCAGCUCAGGACAUCCCAAUUCUCUCUAUCUAUUGUUUAAUUUCUCUCUACUUUAUCUCCAAGGAUUGAAUUGUGUUCGACGUUUGAAUUAUUUUCCCUUAAUGUUAUGAGGCCCCAAGGGUUGAAUUGGUGUUUGAAUUAUUUUUUUCGCUUAAUGUCCUGCAGAGUAUGUUAUGAGACAUAAGGGCUGAAUUGUGAUUUGUUUCCUGUUUGGAUGAUUUGCAUAGCAUCUUAUAGAAUAUGAAUGGUUUGGUUUUCGCACGGUUCUCGCGAGUAUGUUAUAGCCACCAUUCUUCCUUGGUUUUUAAGUCUUCAAUUUAUCUUAUCGUUCUAUACUUCAUCCUCGAUUACCAGUUAUACUUUGUUGAAUUAUUGUUCUUUACAGGGAUGAGUGGGGAUAAGACAGGGAUGUGUGGGUAGGACGUUCCUCGUGGUUGGUUGAAAAUGGUGGAUGAGCCAUGCUCGACGGUAUGAAAAACACAACGACAAUGGGCUCGACAUAACCGAAGUCUUUUUUGAGUUUUCCUUCUAUUUUUCUUCAACAUAAGGAUAUGAUUUGUUUAUCUGCAGUGGUGUUUUGAACCUUUUGCGUAAAUUUCUUUGCUCCUUUUCAGUUGGUGGCCGAUUCUCUGGCGUUUCUUUAGCUUUUGGAUGAUUUGAAAACUAGAACGACCAAGAGCUAGGCAUAACCUAAGUCUUUGUUGAGUUUCCCUUCUUUAACUUUUUUUUCUGCUAUUGAUCACAGUACAUAAGGAUUGAACUAUGAUUUGUUUAUCUGCAGUGGUGUUUGGAUUAGUUGGGUAACGACACAUACUCAUCUUAUCAUGUUCCUAUAACUAGUAAAUUCAUUUACUGAAUUUUGAGUAUAAUUGUCUAUUUGAGUAUGACGAGUUUUAUACCUUUUGCGUAAAUUUCUUUUCAGCUGGUGGCUGGUUUUUUGGUAUUUCUUUUGCCUAUGGAUGAUAUGGAAAGCACAACGACCAAGGGCUCGACAUAACCUUAAGUCUUUUUUUAGUUUCCCUUCUAUUUUUGUUAUGGUAUUGCAUAAGGAUUGAACUAUGAUUUGUUUAUCUGCAGUGGUGUUUGGAUUAGUUGGGUAACGUCACAUAUUAAUCUUAUCAAGUUUCUAUAAUUAGUAAAUUCAUUUAUGUCUAUAUGAGAAUGACGAGUUUUGAACCUUCUGCGUAAAUUUCUUUGCACCUUUUCAGCUGGAGUUCUCUGUCAUUUCUUUCUCCUAUGGAUGAUAUGAAAAGCAGAAGGACCAAGGGGCUCGACAUAACCUAAGUCUUUUUUGACUUUUUUUUUCUAUUUUUCUUUUUCCUGGUAUUGAUGACAGUACAUAAGGAUUGAACUAUAAUUUGGUUAUCUGCAGUGGUGUUAGGAUUAGUUGGAUAACGACGCAUAUUCAUCUUACAAGUUGCUAUAACUAGUAAAUUCAUUUAUGUGAAUUUUGAGUAUAAUUCUCUAUUUGAGUUUGACAAGUUUUAAACCUUUUGCGUAAAUUUAGUUUCAGCUGGUGGCUGGUUUUUUUGCCUUUCUGUUGCCUAUGGAUGAUAUGAAAAGCACAAUGACCAACGGGCUCGUCAUAACCUAAGUCUUUUUUGAGUUUUCCUUCUUUUUUUCUUUUUCCUGGUAUUGUUCACAGUACAUAAGGAUUAAACUAUGGUUUUGUUUAUCUGCAGUGGUAUUUGGAUUAGAUGGGUAACAACGCAUAUUCAUCGUAUCAAGUUUCUAUAACUAGUAAAUUCAUUUACGUCAAUUUUGACUAUAGUUCUCUAUUUGAGUUGACACUAUAGUUCUUUAUUUGAGUAUGACGAGGAAAAUUACUUAAAUUUCUUUUCAGCUGAUCAAGGGCUCAACAUAACCUUAAAUCUUUUUUGACUUUCCCUUUUAUUAUUUUUUUUAGGUAUUACAUAAGGAUUGAACUAUGAUUUGUUUAUCUGCAGUGGUGUUAUGAUUAGUUGGGUAACUUCACAGAUUCAUCUUAUCAAGUUUCUAUAAUUCAUUUAGGUGAAUUCUGAGUAUAAUUCACUAUUUGAGGAUGAUGAGUUUUGAACAUUUUGUGUAAAUUUCUUUGCAUAUUUUCAGUUAUUGGCUGGUUCUCUGGCAUUUCUUUUGCCUAUGAAUGAUAUGAGAAGCACAACGACCAAGGGGCUCAACAUAACCUAAGUCUUUUUUGAGUUUUCCUUAUAUUUUUCUUUUUACUAGUAAUAAUAACAGUACAUAAAGAUUGAACUAUGAUUUGUUUAUCUGCAGUGGUGUUUGGACUAGUUGGGUAACGACGCAGAUUCAUUUUAUCAAGUUUCUAUAACUAGUAAAUUCAUUUACGUGAAUUUUGAGUAAAAUUCUCUAUUUGAGUAUGACGAGGUUUAAACCUUAUGCGUAAAUUUCUUUUCAGCUGGUGGCUGGUUUUUUGGCAUUUCUUUUGCCUAUGGAUGAUAUGCAAAGCACAACGACCAAGGGCUCGAUAUAACCUUAAGUCUUUUUUGAGUUUCCCUUAUAUUAUUCGUUAAUGGUUUUACAUAAGGAUUGAACUAUGAUUUGUUUAUCUGCAGUGGUGUUUUGGAUUAGUUGGGUAACGUCGCAUAUUCCUCUUAUCAAGUUUCUAUAGUUAGUAAAUUCAUUUAUGUCUAUAUGAGGAUGACAAGUUUUGAACCUUCUGCGUAAAUUUCUUUGCACCUUUUCAGCUGGCGUUCUCUAGCAUUUCUUUCUCCUAUGGAUGAUAUGAAAAGCAGAAGGACCAAGGGGCUCAACAUAACCUAAGUCUUUUUUGAGUUUUUUUUUCUAUUUUUCUUUUUCCUGGUAUUGAUGACAGAACAUAAGGAUUGAACUAUGAUUUGUUUAUCUGCAGUGGUGUUUGGAUUAGUUGGAUAACGACGCAUAUUCAUCUUACAAGUUUCUAUAACUAGUAAAUUCAUUUACGUGAAUUUUGAGUAUAAUUCUCCAUUUGAGUGUGACGAGUUUUAAACCCUUUUUGUAAAUUUACUUUCAGCUGGUGCCUGGUUUUUUGGCCUUUCUGUUGCCUAUGGAUGAUAUGAAAAGCACAACAACCAAGGGCUCGACAAAACCUUAAGUCUUUUUUGAGUUUCCUUCUAUUUUUUUAUGGUACUACAUAAGAAUUGAACUAUAAUUUGUUUAUCUGCAGUGGUGUUUGGAUUUGUAUAACGUCACAUAUUCAUCUUAUCAAGUUUCUAUAAUUAGUAAAUUCAUUUAGGUCUAUAUGAGGAUGACGAGUUUUGAACCUUUUGCGUUAAUUUCUUUGCACCUUUUCAGCUGGAGUUGAGUUGUGAACUUGUUUGGAAGUUUUGCAUGUAAUCUCCUUUGAGCCUAGACUGCAAUGUCUCUUAUGCUGAAAUCUUUGAAAUCAGAAUAAUGAACCGGAGUGACAACAAUGCUCUAACGCUGAAAUUUUUGAAAUCAGUAUAAUAAUGAUCCUGAAAUUGUUUAAAUGCUUCACUUUUGUUUCAACAAUCUCCAUUUAUGUUUCUCAUUCUUCGAGUUUUGAAAUCAGCAUUUAUUUGUUUGCAGCACAUUUUGUCUUUAUUUGAGGUUUCUCUUUCAGAUUGUUAACUCAACCAGUGAUGGAAUAUAGUGGGACGGCUAACAUGUCUUAUCAACAAGUUUGAGUGUUUAUCCAAAACCAUUCCAUUCAUUUCUUUUUCAUAUUUGUACAAUUUGGAAAAGGAUUGUAUCCGAGAAAGAUAAUGGAGUUUUGGAGGUGAAUUUGUUAAUUUUAAUCAGAUUGACGAACGUCUCUUGGACAGGAUUUCGUCUCUAUUUGAUAUUUUCAGAUUUGAUCACCAAACAUAUGGAUUUUCUGUUGUCAUUUGUUUUUGUGCAGUGAUAUUUGCAUAAUGUUUCAUGCUACGUCUAAUCAAUCAUGUUGUUUGGAAGUUUGUAUGACUCUUGAUAACAGGCUUUACAAGAGUUUGGGAGGAUUAGUAAUUUCAGAGGUGAUACCUAUUAUCAUAUUUGUGUCUUGUAGUGUGAACUGUUCAAGUUUAUUCAUUUGCAAGAGGGAUCAAUUCUCCACUUUUGAUGCAGAAGAUUAGAUGGCUAACAUUAUUGUCCGUUCAUUUGAUCCAGCAAGAGCCCAUUCUAGAAAUGUGGUCUUCUCUUUAAAGGCCUUUAGUAUUUUACUAUCAUAAAUAGAUAUUAUUUCUGGUUCUAUUGUUUUGACUGAGAGGAAGUCACAAGUCUUGUUGAUAUAUGAUGAUCUCUUAUCAUUUCCCCUUAAUUCUUGGUUGUUGUUUUGACAGGGUAGGGUUUGGGGAGUCUGGGUUUUUGGAUUAGGAAUUGUCCAACCACCAACAAUGUGUGUACAAGUUUGAAAUAUAUGAAUGAAGGCUGUCAAGGAAAAUGAUUACAGCAAUGAAGGCUAAAAAAAAAAUUGCGGAAGCAGAGUCUCCUAGAUCAGGAUAUAUAUAUGCUAGAGUGGAAAGAAAUAGAUGAAAUAUAUUUCUGAGAUAUCUUACAAAUGUGAUUACAGUCUCUAUUUAUAGACUGUUUUACAACCUAAUUAAAGAAAGAAAUAAUAGGUGAUGAAAGCCAGAAAUAAAUAAUGAGUGUUUAAAGCUGUACAAAUCAAAUAAAAUAAAAUCACUAACAAAUCUGUACUAAUAAAUAUAAAAUGGAAUCUGCACUUAAUUAUAACAUAAUUCUCCUGAUUAUGCAACAGUUAGUUUGAAUUUUAUUGAAUUACAUAAAUGCUUUAUUAAUAUGAUCAUUUGAUUAUAGCAGAAUUGUAGUGGUUUUUAUAAAAUUAUUCUUAGUAGUUAUAUAAUUAUUCAUGGUUGUUAUAUUACCUUUAAUAGUUAUUGUUGUUGGAAAAAUAAUCUAGAAGUCCUUUGUUGGCUAAUGAUUCUCUAACAUUUUUUUAAAAAUUUUAUAGUAGUUGUAUUUUGAUUUGACAAUUUAGUUUAGUUUCUUUUAUUGACUCUUAUAGCUAAUUAAUAUUGACUUUCAUUAGAAUGUUGAUGAUGAUGUGAAUGAUGUGUUUUAAUGUUGAUUGUGUUGUGAUUCUAUUUUAUAAAAUAUUGUUUUAUGGUAAUCAUUAAUCAAUUGCUUUGUAUACACUCAUUUAUCAUAUUGCUGUAUGACAAAUCUUAAAGCCCUCUAAGAGAAAGGUUCCUGGGUUGCUUUGUGGAAAGUUUUAAACUCGCUCGCAAUGGUAAAGGAUGGAUCAAUGUGCUUUUAUGCAAGAAUUAUUAGUAAAUUCAUUUACGUGAAUUCUUAGUAUAAUUCUCUAGUUGAUUAUGACGAGUUUUUAACCUUUUCAGCUUAUGGCUGGUUCCCUAACAUUUCUUUUGCCUAUGGAUGAUAUGAAAAGCCCAACAAUCAAGGGCUCAACAUAAAGAAAGUCUUUUUUGAGUUUCCCUUCUAUUAUUCUUUUUGCUGGUAUUGAUAACAUAAGGAUUGAACUAUGAUGUGUUUAUCUGCAAUGGUGUUUGGAUUAGUUGGGUAACAUCGCAUAGUCAUCUUAUCAAAUUUCUAUACUUUGUCUUAAUAAGAGUGUUUAUUGUUUCCUUCAAUUUUUGGACUAUCGUUUCCUUCAAUUAAAUUUGGUGUUUGUGUUCAUUCCUUUUCAGCAAGUCCUGAGUCUUUGAGAUUUCUUUUGGUGGUUGAGGAACUACAGAAUGGUUGUAGAUCAGGAUAUCCUAAUUUCUCUAUACUUGAUCACCGAACAUUGAAUAGUGAUUUGUUCUUAUGCAGUAAACAUAAGGAUUUAAUUUUGAUUAUUUUCGUAUAAUGUCCUUUAUCUCAUGGAGUAUGUUAUGUGGCAUAAUAGUUUAAUUGUAAUUUGCUUCUUUGCAGCGUGAAAUUGGCUUACCGUAUUGCAUCUUAUGGGGUAUGUUAUGAGUGACCGUGUCUCCCUUAAUUUUUUAAUUUAUCUAAUAGUCCUUUAUUACCUGUUAUAGUUUUGUUGAAUUAUUGUUCUUUAUAGGGAUGUGUGGUAAUUAGCAAGAGCUCAGGACUAUUUGGUUUCAAUUUUUUUAUAACAAAACUUUAUUUUGCCUUUAUUAGUUUCCUUCAUUGACAAAUGAAUUUUGAACUUGGUUCUUGCAAAGCAUCAAUGUCCUUGCCUAAUUUGUGUUUCAAGAUUAUUGAUCUUUCGUAUUGAAGUUCUGAAAAUUUAGGUGGAGCAGUAUUGAAAAGAUGGAUCUUGAAGUUAUUCCUUUCAUUUUAGUAGUGUAAUUAGCAAGAGCUCAGGAUUAUUUGCCUCCAUUCUUUGAUUACAGAACUUUUUAUUUUGUUUGUUCCUGCAUCGACAAAUGAAUUUUGAACUUGUUCUUGCAUAAUUUAUCAUUGGGAGGAAAUGAAUUGGUGGUUUAGGUUUGGGAAACAGUGGAUCGGGACCCUGUGGAAAUUUAGGUUUUGUUCUAUGUUUAUUAUUUCUUUGCUGUUAUUAUUCACGGAUAAACUUGUGGACUGGGAAUGUUUACCUCUAUAUGACAGGCACUGUAAACGUCUGUGUCAGCUAUUUAAUUUUCUCUUUCUUGUCCACACUCAGACAUUUCUUUCAGCAACUGAGUCAUUUAAAAGAGAGUUUCGUUUCUUUUCAUGUUCUUUAUUGUCAAAAUAACCUUUCUUUCUUUCUUAUCAGCUAUAGUAUUUAGUUUCACUGUGAUCUCGGGAUGUGUUAUUUGGAAGUGAUGUGGUUAUUCAUCCAAGGAUUAAUGUGUUAUUUGGAAGUGAUGUGGUUAUUCAUUCAAGGAUUGAGUUCCAUUCUCUUCGACUUGCUUUUGUUUGUUGUGUUCAUUGCUAUCAAACAACUUUCUUCCUUUUAAAUGUAUGGAGUCUAUUUUUUUAAGAUGAAAUCCCCACUAAAUGUAAUGUUUUUUUUUUCUUUCUUUUUCAUCAUUGCCUAGUUAUUUCUGUUUCUCAUAGGCUUGGUCUCAUCCCUUCAACUUGCAUUUGUUUGUGUUCAUUGCUAUCAAACAGCUUUCUUCUUUUUAAAUGUAUGGAGCCUUUUUUGCUACGUCUAGAUGUUGAUUUUCUUGUGUUCAUUCAUUUUUAGGUGUUGAUUUGUUCGUGUUAAUUCCUUUUUAGCAUCUCGAGACUGCCGGAAUGGUUGAGGAUUAAAAUCUGAAAUUGUUUAGAACCACCAAUAAUUCAGGAUAACCUUCAACUUUGUUUUAGGUGUCAUUUGUUUUAUGUCUCUCUUUGUUUUAAAUGUCUUAUUGUCUCUAUACUUCAACUUUAUGAGCCGUUUGUAGCCUUCCUGAAUUCUUGGGGUGUACAGGACAAACAUGCAACAGAUGUGAGGUAGGAAAGAUGUGAGUAUCCUUGAAGCUUGAAUACUGGCAGGAGAUCCUUGAAGCUUUAGGUUUUGGUAUCCACACAUAUUUUUGUCUUUAAUUGGGACUGGCUAUUUGAAUUUCUCUGGUUUUUGAAUUCCUUCAAUUCAUUAAUUCAUUUUGUCCUUUCUUAAAUUCUGGGUCUUUAUUACCAAUAUCUAUUUGAAUUUAAAUAUAGUUCUUAAAUUUUUUAUGUAUAGGUGUUGAUUCGUUUGUGUUCAUUCCUUUUUAGCAUGUAAGACUGGUUGAGGAUUAAAAUCUGCAACUGUACACGAAAAAACAAGCAACGGAUGUGAGCUAGGAUAUCUGAAUACUGGAAGGACAUGCUUGAUUCUAUAGGUUAUCCAUACUCUUUGAUGACAGAUGUCUACUUGAGUUUGGAUGUAGUUAUUUAUUUGAUGACUGAGAUCUAUCAUAUGUAACUGUUUAUCUGCUUGUGUUAGUUCCUUUUCAGCAGGGGAUUCUGGUUUAGGAUAAAAAAACAUAAAUUUGAAUAUUGUUCUUGUCCGAUUAUCAAAAUAUGUAAAACCUAGCUAUUUGAUGUUGAUUCUUUUUUAGCACAUUAAAGGUUAAUAAUAAUACAAUACUCAGGGAAGAUGUCUCCUCUUUAUUUGAAACUUUGUAGAUUGAGCAUAUUUUUCGAGACUGAUAUAUGAGGUAGGAUGUGGAAACACUGGGAUUUGUGAAGCUUUAGGUUUUGUUAUCCUUACAUUUCUUAUGUUUUUAUUUGUGACUAACUAAACUUCUUGUUUGGAUGCUAAGUUUUGGUUGGAUUCAUUGCAGACCUUGUAGUGUGUCUGACAGUUCUUAUUGGUGUAUAUGUAGCAAUCACUAGCAGACUAUUAGAGGUCCUGUAAUUUGGGGAGGAUUUGUCUGACAGAAUUUCUAACAACUUAAUAUGAAGUACUGAAUUAAUAGUGAAAAAAAAGAUAAAGAAAAAAUAUCAUGGCCAUUAAAAGUUUAUGUUUCUUGUCCUGUUCAGCCAUGGCACUUGUCAGUGAGCUCUUGCUUCUUUCUCUAUUGCCCCAUAUGCAUACUUUUUCGCAUUUCUUACUCUUUUUUUAAGUUGUUCAUUUUUAAGUAAUUUAGGCUUCUCAUACUGGUUUCAUAGUGAAAUUUGAGCCUUUUACAUGGUGCCAUUGAAAUUAAGGAGGGAAUUAAUGAUCUUUAGUUUUAUAGUACUGAAUUAAUUUGGAUUUGCUUAGGUGUAGCAAAUUUGAAAGGUCAUUUUCUUAGUUAUUACUUCAUUUACUAAAUUAUCAAGAGCAUUGAACAAUUUGAUUUUGUAGUGUUUUGUUUGCUGCCUUGACAAAUGAAUCUUGCAUUCUAUUGUUUUUAGUAAUUUUGGGUUACAUUCUGAAUAUGACAUAUGAUGAUCUCUUAUAUCUUCCAAAAUGAGAAUGAUCUCCAACAUUAGAGCUGUAUUUAGUUCUAUCUCCAAUGUGAGAAUGAGAAAAUUGAGAGCUGUAUUUAGUUUUAUCUCCAAUUAUCUCUAAUAUUAGAAUGAGAAACAACAGUAGUUGAAAUGUUUUCUUGUAAUCUAUCUUCGUGUGCUAUGAUUCAGUUCUCUCUCCAUAUAUGAGAAUAAAAAAUGAGAAAGAGAAACAACAUUAUUUGGAAUGUUUUGUCGUAAUCUUCUUGCACUAUGAUUUUGUUCUCUCCCAAUAUGCGAAUGAGAAAAUGAAAAACAACAGUAUUUAGAAAGUUUUGUCGUAAUCUUGCGCUAUGAUUUGGUUCUCUCCUCAAUAUGCAAUGAGAAGAUGAGAAACAACAUUCCUUAACUUGUAAUUGAUUUUAUAUUAAUUGUUUAACUAUUCACUUCAUGUUUUUCUAAUUUGAAGAUAUCUCUUUACUAAAAACAAUGUAAUUAAUUUUAUAUUAAUUGUUUAGCUAUUCA